rnacentral:rRNA from 1 species
GAUGAACGCUGGCGGCGUGCCUAAUACAUGCAAGUCGAGCGAACGGACGAGAAGCUUGCUUUUCUGAUGUUAGCGGCGGACGGGUGAGUAACACGUGGAUAACCUACCUAUAAGACUGGGAUAACUUCGGGAAACCGGAGCUAAUACCGGAUAAUAUUUUGAACCGCAUGGUUCAAAAGUGAAAGACGGUCUUGCUGUCACUUAUAGAUGGAUCCGCGCUGCAUUAGCUAGUUGGUAAGGUAACGGCUUACCAAGGCAACGAUGCAUAGCCGACCUGAGAGGGUGAUCGGCCACACUGGAACUGAGACACGGUCCAGACUCCUACGGGAGGCAGCAGUAGGGAAUCUUCCACAAUGGGCGAAAGCCUGACGGAGCAACGCCGCGUGGGUGAUGAAGGUCUUCGGAUCGUAAAACUCUGUUGUUAGGAAAGAACAUAUGUGUAAGAAACUGUGCACAUCUUGACGGUACCUAAACAGAAAGCCACGGCUAACUACGUG